AGUUUAGCAUACCCUACUUCAAUCUCCCAUCACUAUGAAGGCUAUCCUUGUAUGCUCUCUCUUGAUUUCAGUCCUUCUCUUUCCCUCUUGCGUACUUAGUGCUCGAGAGUUGGUUCAAAAUGAAAUGAUGAGUACUGAUCAUAAGGUGGGCAUUACAGCAGGCUCCAACUGUGGACCUGGAAAAGCUUACAGAAAGUACUGCAUUCCCAAUCCAAAACCAACUCCGUGUUCCAAGAAAAGACGAGGAUGUAGCCCACCAAGCCCUUGAAAAUGAAAAGAUAAACUGGUACUAUAUAUAUAGGAUGAAGGAGUGGCUGUGGCUUGGGGUAGAAGAA